CAAUAGCGUAUAUUAAAGUUGUUGCGGUUAAAAGCUCGUAGUUGGAUUUCUGUUGAUAACGGCCGGUCCGCACUAUGUGCGUGUAUCAGGUUCGGUGUCGGCAUCCUCGUGGGGAUCGUUUCUGUGCUUGAUUGCAUGGGGCGGGAAUUGCAUCGACUUUACUUUGAUGGAAAGAUUAGAGUGUUCACGGCAAGCUAUCGCUUUGAAUACAUUAGCAUGGAAUAAUGAUAUAGGGCGUAAGUUCUAUUUUGUUGGUUUCUAGGACGUACGCAAUGAUUAAUAGGGAUAAUUGGGGCGGAUUCGUAUUAACGCGUCAGAGGUGGAAUUCUUAGAUUGCGUUACGACGAACUACUGCGAAAGCAUUUGCCAAGGAUGUUUUCAUUGAUCAAGAACGAAAGUAUGGGGAUCGAAGACGAUUAGAU
rnacentral:rRNA from 1 species